UACGUAGGGUCCAAGCGUUGUCCGGAUUUACUGGGCGUAAAGAGCGCGCAGGCGGUCGUUCAAGUCGCGUGUGAAAGCCCCCGGCUCAACUGGGGAGGGUCACGCGAUACUGAUCGACUCGAAGGCAGGAGAGGGAAGUGGAAUUCCCGGUGUAGUGGUGAAAUGCGUAGAUAUCGGGAGGAACACCAGUGGCGAAGGCGACUUCCUGGCCUGUUCUUGACGCUGAGGCGCGAAAGCUAGGGGAGCAAACGGG
rnacentral:rRNA from 1 species